GAUGAACGCUGGCGGCGUGCCUAAUACAUGCAAGUCGAGCGAACGGACGAGAAGCUUGCUUCUCUGAUGUUAGCGGCGGACGGGUGAGUAACACGUGGAUAACCUACCUAUAAGACUGGGAUAACUUCGGGAAACCGGAGCUAAUACCGGAUGAUAUUUUGAACCGCAUGGUUCAAAAGUGAAAGACGGUCUUGCUGUCACUUAUAGAUGGAUCCGCGCUGCAUUAGCUAGUUGGUAAGGUAACGGCUUACCAAGGCAACGAUGCAUAGCCGACCUGAGAGGGUGAUCGGCCACACUGGAACUGAGACACGGUCCAGACUCCUACGGGAGGCAGCAGUAGGGAAUCUUCCGCAAUGGGCGAAAGCCUGACGGAGCAACGCCGCGCGAGUGAUGAAGGUCUUCGGAUCGUAAAACUCUGUUAUUAGGGAAGAACAUAUGUGUAAGUAACUGUGCACAUCUUGACAGUACCUAAUCAGAAAGCCACGGCUAACUACGUG
rnacentral:rRNA from 1 species